UGUUGGCUUAGAAGCAGCCAUACAUUGAAAGAGUGCGUAAUAGCUCACUGGUCGAGUGGUUGUGCGCCGAAGAUGUACCGGGGCUAAAACACGUCACCGAAGCGGCGGAUUCACGGUUGUGAACUCUGUUUUCAUCAGGGAAUGUCAUAUUCAUGUAAGGAAGGGCAUGUUACCCAAGAAGAUGGAGCUCACAACCGUGGGUGGUAGAGGAGCAUUGUGUAUGGGCAGAAGCAUGACCGAGAGGACAUGUGGACUGUACAGAAGAGAGAAUGCCGGUAUGAGUAGCGAGAGGCAUGUGGGAAACAUGCCGGUCGAAGGCCCAAGGUUUCCUGGGGAAGGUUCAUCCACCCAGGGUAAGUCGGGACCUAAGCCGAGGACGAAGGUCGUAGGCGAUGGACAGCAGGUGGAGAUUCCUGCACUACCCGUAGAAUGAAGCAGUGACACAGAAGGAUAGCUCGGGCGCGGUGAUGGUCAACUGCGUGAAAGCACCGAGUGUGGGUUGUAGUGAAGUACGCAACCUGGGAGCAUGAGGUGUGAGAGGACCGAAGUCAAGUAGGGAAGCGAGUGAUUUCACGCUGGCGAGAAAAGCUGCUAGUAUAUUUACGGGUACCCGUACCGCAAACCGACACAGGUGGGCAGGGAGAGGAUCCUGAGACGGACGGGAGAACCCUUGUUAAGGAACUCGGCAAAAUGACCCCGUAACUUCGGGAGAAGGGGUGCCUGCGCAAGCAGGCCGCAGAGAAGAGGCCCAAGCGACUGUUUAUCAAAAACACAGGUAUCUGCGAAAGCGAGAGCUGACGUAUAGGUGCUGACACCUGCCCGGUGCUGGAAGGUUAAGGGGACCUGUCAUCGCAAGAGAAGCAGUGAACCGAAGCCCCAGUAAACGGCGGCCGUAACUAUAACGGUCCUAAGGUAGCGAAAUUCCUUGUCGGGUAAGUUCCGACCCGCACGAAUGGUGUAACGAUUUGGGCGCUGUCUCAACAAGGGACCCGGUGAAAUUGAAGUAUGGGUGAAGAUGCCCAUUACCCGCGACUGGACGGAAAGACCCCGUAGAGCUUUACUGUACCCUGAUAUUGGAUUUCGGUAACUGAUGCACAGGAUAGGUGGGAGGCUGGGAACCAUGGCUUUCGGGCUGUGGGGAGCCGCUGUUGGGAUACCACUCUUCUGUUGCUGAAGUUCUAACACGGCACCGUGAGCCGGUGAGUGGACAUUGUCAGGCGGACAGUUUGACUGGGGCGGUCGCCUCCCAAAGAGUAACGGAGGCGCCCAAAGGUACCCUCAGAAUGGAUGGAAACCAUUCGCAGAGUGCAAAGGCAGAAGGGUGCCUGACUGCGAGACUGACAAGUCGAGCAGAGACGAAAGUCGGGCUUAGUGAUCUGGCGGUAU
rnacentral:rRNA from 1 species